rnacentral:lncRNA from 1 species
AUGGAAAAUAUGUAUUCAUUUUCCCCUCUUCAUUCAUUUAAUACCAUUCAUUUCUUAAAAGUGAGCUUUCAGAAACAGUUUGCAUGUUGGCUUGCAUAUGUUUAUUUGUCUGUGUCUGUGUUUUCUACUUGUCUGCAUCUUGACAAUUUAAUUUUGCAUACAAAUUUUUCAGUGAAUCUGAAUUUCAUUUGUUUCAUUCCAAUGAUAUUUACAUUGUAUUUUGUUUUUAUUUUACAGAUGUACUUCAGAAAAAAUAUGAUGAUCCUCAAAAGAAACUCAAAGAACUUCAGGAAAAAAUUGGUAAGCUUUCCCUGACAUUCCUUUGGUCCCCAAAACCUUUAAAAUAAUGCUUUCCAAAUGUCGAACAUUUCCUGCUUUUGGCUGAUUUGUCAUGCAUGACUCACAUUUCUGCUGAGGUCCACGUUCUAACCUGAAUCGCUGCUUGUGGAUUUCUCCCAUAUUUCUUUCACCAUUGCUGUUUCACAGCCUAUGUAAAUUUUUAUAUCAUCCAUUUGUCAAGUGUAAAUGACACAGGUCAUUCUUUUGCUGCUUUGAAACUAUCACCCAAGUAUUUCCAGGCCUGCAAAUGUUUUACACGAUGUUUGAAAUUUCCAAUGAUAGGAAUGUUCCUUUAUGCUUUUCGUUUUUACUGACACAGUUAUCAGUUUGGCAACCUGCAAUUGUUUCAGUAUUUGUAGAAUGAUCUUACAUCUUAGAGAAGUUGAGUGGUGACAUAUCUCCCUGUUCUGACUUUUUAAGGUGAAUGCAGAGAGGCUUAUGCCCUGAAACAUUUUCAAAACUUGCACUUUUUCAAAUUUCAAAAGUUUUUAUCAAAUAGUUCAUAUUAAUGUCUCCUUUGGUAAUGACACUUCCCAGUUAGGUUUUUGAUUUCCGAAGGAAUGGCAUUUAGGAAUAUCCUUCAUGCUGUAGCAGCCUUCAUGCAACUGCUGUGACACCAACAUCAUUUUGGACAAAUGGGUGCUUUCUUUCUCUUUGCUUUGCUUUCUCUUCUCUUUUUUAAGUGACAGUCACAUGCGGUUGGGUAUUUGCACUUUGCAAAUCACUGACAUCAAAUGAGCUAGAUUUGACGUGGUUAAAUUAGAAAUUUAAAAAGCAAGGUUACCUAAGCAUUUCUUCAGAACACUGCAUAAUCUCUGAAGCAGUGGGUUCUUCAGUGUUCUCUAACUCCCUGCCUCUGGGUGCUGGAUACAGCACACCUACAGCAAUCAUGAGGGUUGAGGAGUUUUACGUAGCAGCAGCCGAGGAACGCUUGAAGUCCAUGAGACAGAUCAAUAAAGGUUGAAGUAACAUCCA